rnacentral:rRNA from 1 species
AUGAGGGGCGGAGGAGGGGCCGGCGAUAAGCAGCCGGCCAACGGCAUGCAUGGCGGCGCCGGCGGUGCCUCAGCCGGCAAGCCCAGGUCUUAUUUCCUCUACGGCAUCCUCCUCUACGCCGUCCUACCCGUGUUGUUCCUGUACAUGGUCGUCGCCGCGAUCUCGCCUAUCUACAACCCGCGGUGCUCGCCGGAGGGCGCCGGCGCCAUGGUGCAUUUCGUGGUGGCCAACCCGAAUGCGUCCUCGUCAAACACUUCGAUGAGACCGCCGAUGGUGUCGGCGGACGAUGCGCCCACCGGGCUGCGGCACAUCGUGUUCGGCAUCGGCGCCUCGUCGGCGCUGUGGGAGAGCCGUAAGGAGUACAUCAAGCUGUGGUGGCGGCCGGGGAGGAUGCGAGGUUUCGUGUGGAUGGACAAGCCCGUGGAGGAGUUCUACUCCAAGAGCUCGCGCACGGGGCUCCCGGCGAUCAUGGUGAGCUCGGACACGUCCAAGUUCCCGUACACGCACGGGGCCGGCAGCCGGUCGGCGCUGCGGAUCUCCCGCAUCGUCUCCGAGAGCUACCGCCUGGGCCUCCCGGGGGUCCGGUGGUUCGUGAUGGGCGACGACGACACGGUGUUCCUCCCGGAGAACCUGGUGCACGUGCUGUCCCGGUACGACCACACGCAGCCGUACUACAUCGGGUCGCCGUCGGAGAGCCACAUCCAGAACCUCAUCUUCUCCUACGGCAUGGCGUUCGGCGGCGGCGGGUUCGCCAUCAGCCGCGCGCUGGCGGAGGAGCUGGCCAAGAUGCAGGACGGGUGCCUGCACCGGUACCCGGCGCUGUACGGCAGCGACGACCGCAUCCACGCGUGCAUGUCGGAGCUGGGCGUGCCCCUGACGCGCCACCCGGGGUUCCACCAGUGCGACCUGUGGGGCGACGUGCUGGGCCUCCUGGGCGCGCACCCCGUGGCGCCGCUGGUGACGCUGCACCACCUCGACUUCCUGGAGCCGGUGUUCCCGACGACGCCGUCGCGGGCCGGGGCGCUGCGGAAGCUGUACGACGGGCCCGUGCGGCUCGACUCGGCGGCGGUGGCCCAGCAGUCGGUGUGCUACGACGGGGAGCACCAGUGGACGGUGUCGGUGUCGUGGGGGUUCGCGGUGAUGGUGGUGCGCGGGGUGCUGUCGCCGCGGGAGAUGGAGAUACCGGUGCGGUCGUUCCUCAACUGGUACCGGCGCGCCGACUACACGGCCUACUCCUUCAACACGCGGCCCGUGGCGCGGCAGCCGUGCCAGAAGCCCAACGUGUACUACAUGCGCGACUCGCGGAUGGACCGCCGCCGGAACGUGACGGUGACGGAGUACGAGCGGCACCGCGUGAAGCCGCCGCCCUGCCGGUGGCGCAUCGCCGACCCGGCCGCGCUCCUCGACCACAUCGUCGUCCUCAAGAAGCCCGACCCCGAUCUCUGGAAAAGGUCGCCGAGGAGAAAUUGCUGCAAGGUGCUGUCGUCGCCGAAGAAGGGGGAAAACCGGUCGAUGACGAUCAACGUCGGGGUGUGCAGAGAAGGCGAGUUCGCCAAGAUUUAA